GACAGUUUACUUUCUGUUACCUGCUGAUCAGGAUGUAGAACUCUCAGCUACCUCUUCAACACCAUGUCUGCCUGCGUCCUGCCUUCCUUCUGACUAGGACAAUAACGGACCAAACUUCUGAAACUUGACUUCCAGAAUGAACUGUAAAAGUACAUUUGGGUUGGAAUUGGAUUAUUCAUUGAUUGUCCUGGUGCCCAUAUGCUGAUCUGCAAGCUUAUCUACAUGGUCUUCAGAUAAAUAUGAUCAAGAUUUGCAGGCCUGGUAUCCUCACAAGAAGAAGAGGAGAUUGCAAGGGUGUGGGAAGAAGGAGAAAGGUCACUUGAGGACAAGGUGAGAAGGAAACCAUCUGCCUGCAAGCUGAGGACAGAGCUCUAAGGAGAAAUUAGACACACCAACCCUUUAUUCUCAAAUUUUAUAGACUCUAGAACUGUGUGAACACUAAUUUCUGUUGUGUUAUAACCCAGUUUUUGCAUUCUGAGACGCCCCCCACAAACUCACAUAGUAAUUAAUGCUCAGAUUAAUAGCAGUAGCUUGAAGACAUUUUUUCAUCUUUUAUUUUUGCCCAGUCAACUCCCCACAUACAGGAAGACCAAAUCAUCCUUAGCCUGCUCUCAGAAUCCUCAAUAUGGUAGUAAUACAUUCUGCUACAACAAACUGACUCUUUCAAAUGGUAGCUUUCUCUCCAUUGUCUGUGAAACCCCAUGUGUACCUAGGACAAGAAAAAAGUGAUGUCAUUUAAGAAAACUAGAAAUGAUAAAAUCCUGAGAAUGUCUGCUAAACAAUCAAUAUUCUGCAUACAAAAAUAGUCUUUAAGAUCUAAACUUCCUCAUGAAUAUUUUAGGACAGCAUAAUAAGAAGUUCUUUUUGUUUCUCAAUACAAUUAAAUAUUACACUUUUGAAAAGCAAAUGAUUUUUAAACUGAUAGUUUAAUGGGUUAUCUUUUUUAAUAUUGCUCAUCUAUAUCAAGAAAUAUCAGAUCCCCUCAACU